GAUGAACGCUGGCGGCGUGCUUAACACAUGCAAGUCGAACGAUGAAGGGGGAGCUUGCUCCUCUGGAUUAGUGGCGAACGGGUGAGUAACACGUGAGCAAUCUGCCCCUGACUCUGGGAUAAGCGCUGGAAACGGCGUCUAAUACCGGAUACGAGCCGAGCAGGCAUCUGCAUCGGUUGGAAAGAACUUCGGUCAGGGAUGAGCUCGCGGCCUAUCAGCUAGUUGGUGAGGUAAUGGCUCACCAAGGCGACGACGGGUAGCCGGCCUGAGAGGGUGACCGGCCACACUGGGACUGAGACACGGCCCAGACUCCUACGGGAGGCAGCAGUGGGGAAUAUUGCACAAUAGGCGCAAGCCUGAUGCAGCAACGCCGCGUGAGGGACGAAGGCCUUCGGGUUGUAAACCUCUUUUAGCAGGGAAGAAGCGAGAGUGACGGUACCUGCAGAAAAAGCACCGGCUAACUACGUGCCAGCCGCCGCCGUAAGAC
rnacentral:rRNA from 1 species